rnacentral:lncRNA from 1 species
UGGUCUUGGUAAUUAUAUCAGUACCACAAUAUGGCUGCCUGUGAUCUGUGUACUUCUAUUACUCUCACUGAUGUCAAAUGUGUGUAUGUGCUGGAGAAUAAACAGACAAAAAGAAGAAAACUUAAAGGAAUCAAAGACAUUACAUACAAGUACACAGGACGAGCAGGAGAAUGAAGCUGAUGGAAUUUCAUAUGCAUCUGUAAAUAUAAAUAAAACACAAAGAAACAGAGGACAACAUCAUCUCACACAGGACACAGUAUAUGCAAGCAUUAAAUGAAAAGAAAUGCAUUUGUACAAAAUAAAUAAAAACUGC